rnacentral:rRNA from 1 species
UACGUAGGUGGCAAGCGUUGUCCGGAUUUACUGGGUGUAAAGGGCGUGUAGCCGGGCUGACAAGUCAGAUGUGAAAUCCGGGGGCUCAACCCCCGAACUGCAUUUGAAACUGUUGGUCUUGAGUAUCGGAGAGGCAGGCGGAAUUCCUAGUGUAGCGGUGAAAUGCGUAGAUAUUAGGAGGAACACCAGUGGCGAAGGCGGCCUGCUGGACGACAACUGACGGUUAGGCGCGAAAGCGUGGGGAGCGAACAGG